ensembl:lncRNA
CAAUAUUAACUAUAUAUUGUCAUGCUCUAUUGGGGUGAUUAAAUUGUAUUGUAUCUGUUAUUCUAGGUUUAACCUGCCUGAACUGCAGCAGCAGUGUGAGCAGUACUUUGGAAAUCCAGAGGACUCAGAAGAACCCAGAGCUGAUGAACCAUGCCCAGCUGAGGAUCUCAUUCCUGAACCCCAGCAGAGUCUGGCAGACACGCAGUUUCUGGAGCUUCUGCGCUCCAUGUGGCGGCAUGAGGAGAGUGACUGUGAGAGUGACUUCUCAGUAGCAGGAGGAGCCGAAAGAGGGAUGGAAGAGGUGGAGGAGGAAGGAGGAGGUAGUAAUGAUGGAGAAAUGAAGGAAGAGAGAGUAGAUGAGGAGGAACUGGAUGAGAUUUAUGAGUUUGCAGCUACACAGAGGAAGAUUGGCACCAUUGCAUCUUCUUCAAGCUAUGAGGAAGAUGAGGUUAAAGUGAUGAAUGACUUCUUCGAUGAGGAAAAGGAAGACAAAGCAGAAAAGCUAAAUAUGAAAGAAGAAAAAUGUGAAGAGGAACGUGCUGCCCUUUUUAAGAACACUAGUAGCAAUUGUUACGAACUUGAAGUAAAUAAAGGUACUGCUGCUGUGCUAACUAGUGGCAUGAAUGUGCACCACACCCAGGGUGCAAGUGCUGAUGUUUGUUCAGGCUCAGUUUUGGACACAUCAGGUCUUAAAUCUGCUCCUGAAGCCGGUCUGGACAGGAGCUACAGCCGAUUGUUCUCAGAGUCGUGGGGAGAAUACGUGGAGCCAUCACAAACCCCAGCCGCCAGUUUUCAACCCAAAAAAAGUAUAUCUACUCCACACAGGAUGUCUUCAGUCAGUGAGGUAAUUGAUCUGUCCAUCAGUCCCCCUCCAGGGUCUGAAGAGCCAGGUGAGUUAUCCCUGGCCCUUCCAGUGGCUGGUGUGUCUCCAGGUGAGAGGCAAACAAGUAAAUCCUCUCUAAUCAUGGUUUCCAGAACUCCAGAAAUUUCAUCUCCAGUACCCGCGAGUGCUUUGGGUCCAUUAGCCCGGUCCAAACAAUCACCUGUUAAAGAAAGGUCCAUGGUUUGCUCUUCAUUAACCAGUGUAAAUAGCCCUAGCCUUUCAUAUAAAUCAUUAAGUACAGCAACCUGGUCCAAGGGCUCACCAGGAGCAGCCAGUAGCAUAGAGUCUAAGUGUUCACCUUUAGUACUAAGUAACCCAAGUAAGUCUCAGCCUAAAUCAUCUCCUCCAGUUCCUAACUACAACAAACCUGAGCUCAUAGUCCUCUCAGACUGUAGCGAUGACACAGAUGCUGACCCCCCUGCUAACCAAGAUUCACCACCACUAUCUCCAUCUCCUCCAAAAGCCAAUAAAAGCCACACUCCAAUUAGAGCUAAAGAAAGCAUGGAAGUUAAACCAUCUCUUCAUAACAGAACAGAUAAGAUGGAACCUUCCAAAACUGACCACUUAGAAGACUGCCUGUACAGUGCAGCCAAUCACAGCAUGCUGGACGGCUCUGCUGAAGUUUCCUGGCUUAUCCCGGCCACUCCAGAAGUUUCCACACGAUCCAGCUCCACACAGACCUACAACAGCAUGCAGCGCUCUCAGCUGUUUCCCAAACCCCACUCCUCAUCGCCACAGGCCUCCUCUUCCGUUCCUGAGGACUCUGAAAUGUCCCGCAGCGCAGAACCUCUUUCUUCUUCCAUCAGAGGGGGGCCAGCUUGCUCAAGUCUACGUUCAGAUCCGUGUUCUUCUAGAGAACGUUCCAGCAGUGAUGUCCUGGAACAUUCCACAGAUAUUCAGAAGCCAGUAUCUUGUUCCAGACUCCAGUUUGACACCCCGCAGUCUAGGGGUCAAACUCACCACUCAGCCCUUCCAAGUUUCAUGCCCUCCAGCAGCACACCCCUGCACUCUGCCCCCUGCCCUCAGCCUCCAGAGCCUCUGGGAUCACCACUGUUGAGGCACAGUGAUUUCAGACCACAGAGAAGAGCUGCUUGGGAGGAGGAGGACUGUGAGGAUAAGAGGGUUGAUCUGUCUCUCUCUGAUCGGUUGGGCAAGAUGGCUCAGUUUGGAACUUCAGAGCUUGGUUUCAAGGUUGUCAGCCAGUCCGAGAGCUUGCAGUCCCAACGAGGAUGUGUUCAACCUAGGGAAGAUGCACGUGAUAGUCCUCCUGGUUCUCCAGCUCACACCGAGGCUGAGGAUGAGACUGGGACAAGAGAACAGGACCAUGGAGGAACAGUGGAUGAGGACAACAGAAGCAAUAAUGAAGUGGAGAUGGUUGAAGAGGUCAGUUUUUGCGCCUUCGAUGAGCCUCCCAUCGCGUUUGAUGACUCGUGGGGUCUUGGAGGAGGAGAGGUAAACCAAGGACCCCGCUUCAGUCUGAGGCUGGAGAGCAGUGGAGAUGCAGGCAGUCCUUUAGAACACAGAAGACAUGUGGAGAUGCCCCCCCAGCACACAAACUCUCCACCCAUAGAGGAAGCUCAUGCCAUAUCACCUGAUUCUGGAGCUGCAGCCAACCACAGCCUGCCGGAUCCUGCAGUGUGGGAAAGCUGGGGGGAAGAUGAGGAUGAGGAUGAUAAACCUGACAAGGGACCUGCUCUUCCUCUGUUUCAGAGAGCGGGUGUGGUGGCUCCUCCAAAGAGAGUGGCGGAGCUGAAAACGCCAGGUAACGAAGAUAAGAUUAAUCAUAAAUGUUUUGUAUUGUGCCGCAAGCAUCCUGACCAAUGGUCAAAAACAUUUGUGUGGGUGUCUAGGACAUAAAUACAUUUACACAAUGAAAUACAUAUUACUUACUACAUAUUUAUAAUGAACAUAUAAAUGUGCACUAUGUGGCAGUUUAAUUGCAUUCAGGAGUAUCAUGCUGGCCUUCUUUCUGAUAAAAACAAAUAUGCUGUCCAUUACGUUUGGAUUUUGCCUUCAUUAAAGAUAAUUUGUAAAGAUAUCUUUAUAAAAUAAUUUCUUGUUAAAGAAGAAAUCCGGUGUAAAAACGACUCCAAAAUACAGCACCUUUAGUGCUCCCCACAAUGCUAGUGAUAGGGGCAUAAUGUUCCCCAUGCAAAGAAAUCUUUAUUUUAACACCAUUAACAAUCUUAAAGUAGCUCCACACUGAGGGCCCUGACAUUUAAAACAAGUAAGUAAAGUAGUGCAAUACAGCAGUUCAUUUGUAAAAUUUGAGUCACAUUAUGUGAACCUUUUAUACUUUUCAUUUUCAAACAAACAUAUUUGGAAGAAAAAAAAAAUAGAAAUUAGCUUUACUCUAUGGACACCUGUUUAUUUCCGCAGUGUCAUUGUGUGUUUUAUUUAUUUAUAUAUGUAUAUACAGUUGAAUGAAAAAGUAUGUAAACAAUUGCUGAAUAAAUUAGUCACUCUCUUGAGGUCA